UACGGAGGGUGCAAGCGUUAUCCGGAUUUACUGGGUUUAAAGGGUGUGUAGGCGGACUUGUAAGUCAGUGGUGAAAUCCCGGGGCUCAACCCCGGAACUGCCUUUGAUACUAUAAGUCUUGAAUGUUGUGGAGGUGGGCGGAACGGGUCAUGUAGCGGUGAAAUGCAUAGAUAUGACCCGGAACACCGAUUGCGAAGGCAGCCCGCUACGCAACUAUUGACGCUGAGGCACGAAAGCGUGGGGAGCAAACAGG
rnacentral:rRNA from 1 species